rnacentral:rRNA from 1 species
AUUGAACGCUGGCGGCAGGCCUAACACAUGCAAGUCGAGCGGAGCGGCGGACGGGUGAGUAAUGCCUAGGAAUCUGCCUGGUAGUGGGGGAUAACGUCCGGAAACGGGCGCUAAUACCGCAUACUAUCAGAUGAGCCUAGGUCGGAUUAGCUAGUUGGUGGGGUAAAGGCCUACCAAGGCGACGAUCCGUAACUGGUCUGAGAGGAGGAUCGGUCACACUGGAACUGAGACACGGGCCAGACUCAUGCGGGAGGCGGCAGUGGGGAAUAUUGGACAAUGGGCGAAGGCCGGAUCCAGCCAGGCGGCGUGUGUGAAGAAGGACUUCGGAUUGUAAAGCACUUUAAGUUGGGAGGCGUUACCAGCAGAAUAAGCACCGGCUAACUACGUGCCAGCCGCCGCGGUAAUAC